GAUGAACGCUGGCGGCGUGCCUAAUACAUGCAAGUCGAGCGAACAGACGAGGAGCUUGCUCCUCUGACGUUAGCGGCGGACGGGUGAGUAACACGUGGAUAACCUACCUAUAAGACUGGGAUAACUUCGGGAAACCGGAGCUAAUACCGGAUAAUAUAUUGAACCGCAUGGUUCAAUAGUGAAAGACGGUUUUGCUGUCACUUAUAGAUGGAUCCGCGCCGCAUUAGCUAGUUGGUAAGGUAACGGCUUACCAAGGCAACGAUCCGUAGCCGACCUGAGAGGGUGAGCCGCCACACUGGAACUCGGACACGGUCCAGACUCCCACGGGAGGCAGCAGUAGGGAAUCUUCCGCAAAGGGCGAAAGCCUGACGGAGCAACGCCGCGUGAGUGAUGAAGGUCUUCGGAUCGUAAAACUCUGUUAUUAGGGAAGAACAAAUGUGUAAGUAACUAUGCACGUCUUGACGGUACCUACUCAGAAAGCCACGGCUAACUACGUG
rnacentral:rRNA from 1 species